rnacentral:rRNA from 1 species
UACGUAGGGUGCAAGCGUUGUCCGGAAUUAUUGGGCGUAAAGAGCUCGUAGGCGGUUUGUCGCGUCUGCUGUGAAAACUCGGGGCUUAACCCCGGGCCUGCAGUGGGUACGGGCAGACUAGAGUGCGGUAGGGGAGACUGGAAUUCCUGGUGUAGCGGUGAAAUGCGCAGAUAUCAGGAGGAACACCUGCGGCGAAGGCGGGUUGCUGGGCUGACACUGACGCUGAUGCGCGAAAGCCAGGGGAGCGAACGGG